rnacentral:rRNA from 1 species
GAUGAACGCUGGCGGCGUGCCUAAUACAUGCAAGUCGAGCGAACGGCCGAGGAGCUUGCUUCUCUGAUGUUAGCGGCGGACGUGUGAGUCACACGUGGGUAACCUACCUAUAUGACUUGGAUCACUUCGGGAGACCGCAGCUAAUACCGGCUGAUAAUACGAACCGCAUGGUUCAAAAGUCAUAGACGGUCUUGCUGUCACUUAUAGAUGUAAGCUGGCUGCAUUAGCUAGUUGGUAAGGUAACGGCUUACCAAGGCAACGAUGCAUAACCGACCUGAGAGGGUGAUCGGCUAGACGGGAACUGAGACACGGUCGAGACUCCUACGGGAGGCAGCAGUAGGGAAUCUUCCGCAAUGGGCGAAAGCCGGACGGAGCAACGCCGCGUGAGUGAUGAAGGUCUUCGGCUCGUAAAACUCUGUUAUUAGGGAAUAACAUAUGUGUAAGUAACUGUGCACAUCUUGACGGUACCUAAUCAGAAAGCCACGGCUAACUACGUG